rnacentral:lncRNA from 1 species
AAAAGAGUCGUACACAAGCAAGCUCUCUAGCAUGUAUUCUUGUAAGGGCACUAACCCCAUUAUGAGGGCCCCACUCUCAUGACCUCUAAACUUCAUUACCUCCCAAAGAUCCCAUCUCUAAAUAGCAUCACAUUGGGGGUCAGGACUUGAAUAUAUAAAGGAGGUGGGGGACACCAUUCAGUCCAUAGAAAAAUGCUUCUUAUCUCUAUCUUUAAUACCUUCACUCUCUAACACAAUUGGAAACCUCCCCAGGGGCUCCAUGAACCGUGGCUGCAGGCUCUCAGGUACUCUAUCCCAGGACCACAAGGAGUUAAUUUGAUAUUUCCACCAAUGGAGGGUAUCAGGCUCUCAUUAAGCCAUUGUAAAAUGGAUGUAAUAAAACAACUGUUUUCUAAGAUUACUGUAACAAUAAAAAUAUUUGUUAAAACUA